GUGGGAGGCUCUCCUGGACUCCAGGCCUUUCAGCCUGGCCAUGGUGUGUUUGCUUCGGAGCCUGUCACCGCUGCUCUCACAGCCAUCCCGUUGUUCCGACUGAUACACCUCAGGGAUGCGCUCAUAUCCACCACGAACUUGCAGCAGCUUGUACUUAUUUCUCGUGGGCCAGGCAAUAAGCUGGGGAGGGAGAGCGCUCUCAGGGGGCACCCUGAGCAUCCUCCCAGCCUUCUGAUAAGACCUUCCUUUGGAAGCUGUCAGAGGGCUCUGCAGACUCACUUCUUCAAGGAGGCAUUCGACCUCAUCCAUUUCAUCAUCUUCCUCUUCCAACUCAGAGUCUCCUGAAUCCUCAGGAAUCACCAUGUUCAAGGCAGCACUUUUCUUCAACAAACAGACUGUCUUAACAUUGGAGAAGCUGCCCUGGUCUUUCAGCUUCCUGCCUCUCACUGUCUUUUUAAUCUUUUCACUCCUUUUGAAGUUCUCUUUAGACGCCUCCCCAGUCUCAUCUUUCAUGCGCUCUUCAUCUGGACCUAAUUUCCUAUUCACGACUGGUUUUCUCCAUGAUCUCUUGGUUUGGCAGUCUGGCAAUGUCUCCUUCCCUUUGGAGGGCAUCUGGUGGGGAUACGUCUCUAGCUGUGACUCAAACCAACUCACACCAUACUGGAUGCCCUCAUCCACUUCACUGAAUUGGCCCUCCCAGGUAGGGGAGACACUGUGCUCCUCAGAGUUAAUCUCUUCCUCAUCUUCAUCCUGGUUCCCACUCUCCUUCUGCUCUGCAUCCUUAUCCAUGUCGCACUGGAUGCCCUCAUCAACUGUGCUGAGCUGGGCCGACCAGGGAGGGGAGAACCCGGAGAAACCGUGGUCCUCAUAGUUAUUCUCUACCUCCUCUUCAUACUCAUCUUCAUCCUGGUUCCCACUCUCCUUCUGCUCUGCAUCACACUGGAUGCCCUCAUUGACUUUAUACAGCAUGGGCGGCGGGAAGGAAUAACGAGAACCCUUGGGGAGGCUAUGAAGGUCACCUCCAGAGGGCAUUUCCUGAGAGUAUUGUUUGAGCUGUACACUCUCAGCUUCUUUGUUUAGCAGCGGGGAAUGUGGGGACAUUGUUGGGGAGGUAGAACCCCCCUCAUAGAGGCUUUCAUAAUCAUCACAAUCAUACACAUAGAGGUCCUCGUAUUUCCACCACGGGCACACUGGUCCCUUUAUACUGCUUUCUGAUGCAGACUCAGGGGAUUGGCCAGAUUGUGCAGCACAGCACUGCUUCGUGUCACCCUGAGUGGUCCCAUCUACUUUGUCGACCUGGGCCAACCUGGUAGGGGAGGGAACAUGCCCCUCAGGGUAGCUACUGCUCUCUACCUCUUUCUUUUCAUCUACAUUCUCAGGGGAGAAUGUAUCCGUAGGGUUACUGGCCACCCUUCCUAUGUCACGGCUGUCCCCUUCUGAGGGCAUGUCUUCAUUUUCAUUCAAGUUUUCAUCCUGUUGAGGUUCAGUUUCUGUUUGUGUGUCUUUUGUUUUCAUUCUUUCGCAGUGGCCACCGUAUUGUGGUGCCAUGCUAUAAAACAGAGGGACUAUGGGUCUUUGGUUAAGAGCAGUGGGCAAUGGGGACUGAGGGACGAGGAAGCCAGGAUACUCAAUGAACACCAUGG
rnacentral:lncRNA from 9 species